GACCUAAGAUGGCGGCGUUUGCGCGGGGUGUAACCACUGCGUCCUUACGGGGGUUGCAAGGCGUCCGAAUCUCUUCAAAAUAUCGGAAAAUAAUUUCUUUCUCGCUGAUCGCCUAACUUCUACUGACGAGGCUAGGAAGUUGCAGAAGAUGGAGUUCACUCUUGUUGCCCAGGCUGGAAUGCAAUGGCAUGACCUUGGCUCACUGCAACCUCUGCCUCCCCAGUUCAAGUGGUUCUCCUGCCUCAGCCUCCCGAGUAGCUGGGAUUAGAGGUACUGGCUCCUGUAUCACCCAGCUCUGGAGUUGAAAGAGCUCUUCAUUCCUGAGUCUCCUGUACCACUGAGAAUAGGCUGGAGUGCAGUGGCGCAAUCUUGGCUCACUGCAACCUCCACCUCCCGGGUUCAAGCGAUUCUCCUGCCUCAGCCUCCUGAAUAGCUGAGAUUACAAGCAUGCACCACCACGCCCGUCUAAUUUUGUAUUUUCACUAGAGACGGAGUUUCUCCAUGUUGGUCAGGCUGGUCUCGAACUCCAGACCUCAGGUGAUCCACCCGCCUCAGCCUCCCAAAGUGCUGGGAUUACAGGCAUAAGCCACCACGUCCAGCGAGAAUAGGUGAUUUUCAAACUUGGAAACAUUCAGAAGUUAUCUCCUCAGUUUCAGAUUGAGUAGUCUCAAAGAGAUUACAGGCAUCUACCACAAAUUCUCUACUUGGUGUGGUGCAAAAUCAGUAUGAUGUAAACUUUGUCUCUCAGUUUCUUCAAAGGAA
rnacentral:lncRNA from 1 species